rnacentral:tRNA from 1 species
UCUCUGUUGGUCUAGUGGUCAUGAUUUCCGCUUGUCAUUAGCAUGUGACAUAAUCGCGGGAGACCGGGGUUCGAUUCCCCGACAGAGAG